UGGGGAAUUUUGCACAAUGGGGGAAACCCUGAUGCAGCGACGCCGCGUGAUUUAGAAGGCCUUCGGGUUGUAAAAAUCUUUUCUAUGGGAAGAAAAUGACAGUACCAUAGGAAUAAGGACCGGCUAAUUACGUGCCAGCAGCCGCGGUAAUACGUAAGGUCCGAGCGUUGUCCGGAAUCAUUGGGCGUAAAGGGUACGUAGGCGGGUAAGCAAGUUAGAAGUGAAAUCCUAUAGCUCAACUAUAGUAAGCUUUUAAAACUGCUCAUCUUGAGGUAUGGAAGGGAAAGUGGAAUUCCUAGUGUAGCGGUGAAAUGCGCAGAUAUUAGGAGGAAUACCGGUGGCGAAGGCGACUUUCUGGCCAUAACCUGACGCUGAGGUACGAAAGCGUGGUAGCAAACAGG
rnacentral:rRNA from 1 species